CUUCAUCCCCACUUCUCAAACGCAUCAUCCCAUGCCUUGAAUCAAGAAGAAACUCGAAGAUUUCUUCUUCCUCUCUUGAGAAGUGUUUUUCCUUAGGGUUUUGAGAUGCUUUGAGGAGGUGAGACUUCAAUUAAAGGGAAAGAGCCGGUAAAGAAGUAACACCGGGGUGUUUUAGCUCGCCGAGUUUGUGAUAGCAUAGCAGUGGAGUAAAAGCAUGAAGUGCUUGGCAGAGUUUAUUUUAUGAUUUUCU